AGUCGAGCGGUAACAGGGGUAGCUUGCUACCCGCUGACGAGCGGCGGACGGGUGAGUAAUGCUUAGGAGUCUGCUCAGUAGUGGGGGAGAGCCCGGGGAGACCCGGAGUAGUACCGCAUACGUCCUACGGGAGAAAGCAGGGGAGCUUCGGAGCUUGCGCUAUUGGAUGAGCCUAAGUCGGAUUAGCUAGUUGGUGGGGUAAAGGCCUACCAAGGCGACGAUCCGUAGCUGGUCUGAGAGGAUGAUCAGCCACAUCGGGACUGAGACACGGCCCGAACUCCUACGGGAGGCAGCAGUGGGGAAUAUUGGACAAUGGGGGCAACCCUGAUCCAGCCAUGCCGCGUGUGUGAAGAAGGCUUUCGGGUUGUAAAGCACUUUCAGUAGGGAGGAAAACCUUAUGGCUAAUACCCAUGAGGCUUGACGUUACCUACAGAAGAAGCACCGGCUAACUCCGUGCCAGCAGCCGCGGUAAUACGGAGGGUGCAAGCGUUAAUCGGAAUUACUGGGCGUAAAGCGCGCGUAGGUGGUUUGGUAAGCGAGAUGUGAAAGCCCCGGGCUUAACCUCGGAACGGCAUUUCGAACUGUCAGACUUAGAGUGUGGUAGAGGGUAGUGGAAUUUCCUGUGUAGCGGUGAAAUGCGUAGAUAUAGGAAGGAACACCCAGUGGCGAAGGCGGCUACAUGGACCAACACUGACACUGAGGUGCGAAAGCGUGGGGAGCAAACAGGAUUAGAUACCCCUGGUAGUCCACGCCGUAAACGAUGUCAACUAGCCGUUUGGGACUCUUGAAGUCUUAGUGGCGCAGCUAACGCCACUAAGUUGACCGCCUGGGGAGUACGGCCGCAAGGUUAAAACUCAAAUGAAUUGACGGGGGCCCGCACAAGCGGUGGAGCAUGUGGUUUAAUUCGACGCAACGCGAAGAACCUUACCUGGCCUUGACAUCCAGAGAACUUUCCAGAGAUGGAUUGGUGCCUUCGGGAACUCUGAGACAGGUGCUGCAUGGCCGUCGUCAGCUCGUGUCGUGAGAUGUUGGGUUAAGUCCCGUAACGAGCGCAACCCCUAUCCCUGGUUGCUAGCAGGUAAUGCUGAGAACUCCAGGGAGACUGCCGGUGACAAACCGGAGGAAGGUGGGGAUGACGUCAGGUCAUCAUGGCCCUUACGGCCAGGGCUACACACGUGCUACAAUGGCGCGUACAGAGGGCUGCCAACUCGCGAGAGUGAGCCAAUCCCUUAAAACGCGUCGUAGUCCGGAUCGGACUCUGCAACUCGACUCCGUGAACUCGGAAUCGCUAGUAAUCGCGAAUCAGAAUGUCGCGGUGAAUACGUUCCCGGGCCUUGUACACACCGCCCGUCACACCAUGGGAGUGGAUUGCACCAGAAGUAGUUAGUCUAACCUUCGGGAGGACGAU
rnacentral:rRNA from 2 species